rnacentral:rRNA from 1 species
UACGGAGGGUGCGAGCGUUGUCCGGAAUCACUGGGCGUAAAGGGCGCGUAGGCGGCCUGAUAAGUAGGGGGUGAAAUCCUGCGGCUUAACCGCAGGGCUGCCUUCUAAACUGUCAGGCUAGAGCACAGUAGAGGCAGGUGGAAUUCCCGGUGUAGCGGUGGAAUGCGUAGAGAUCGGGAAGAACAUCAGUGGCGAAGGCGGCCUGCUGGGCUGUUGCUGACGCUGA